GACGAACCGUGCGAACGUUAUUCGGAAUCACUGGGCUUAAAGCGCGUGUAGGCGGGGCGGGGCGUCGGCCGCUGAAAUCCCCCGGCUCAACCGGGGAAGGGGCGCCGAUACGACCGCCCUGGAGCGACGUAGGGGGAACUGGAACUUCCGGUGGAGCGGUGAAAUGCGUUGAGAUCGGAAGGAACGCCCGUGGCGAAAGCGAGUUCCUGGACGUCGGCUGACGCUGAGACGCGAAAGCCAGGGGAGCGAACGGG
rnacentral:rRNA from 1 species